rnacentral:tRNA from 1 species
GGAGAGGUGUCCGAGCGGUUUAUGGAGCCGGUCUCGAAAACCGGUGCCCGUUUAUGCGGGUCGAGGGUUCGAAUCCCUCCCUCUCCG